rnacentral:lncRNA from 1 species
ACGCUGUUAUCCCCAUUUUUUAAAAGAUUACUUUUUACUUGAUAUGUAUGUGUGUUUGGCCUGCAUGUGUGUCUAUGUGUAUGCAGAGGCCAGAAGAAGGCAGCAGAGCCUCUGGAACUGGGUGCUACAGUUAUGAGCUACUAUGGGUGCUGAGAACCAAACCCAGGUCCUCUAAAAGGGCAACAGAUGCUGUUAACCGUUGGUCAUGCUCUGUUAUCCCAAUUUUACAGAGGAGAAAGUGGGCUUAGAGGAGCAGAGUAACCUGCCCACAGUUACAUAGCUAGCAAGCAGGACAAGAAUUCUGAUCCUGCCCAGCUGAUCAAGAGCUGAGCUCUUGUCCUCCGUCCUUGCCAAUCUUGCUUGUUGGGAAUACUGGUCCAGGACUGUGUAUCUCAGUGGUAGAACACUUGCCCAGCAUGCACAUGCCCUAGAUUUGGCUCUAGCCCUAAAGAAAAAAAAAAAAUUCAGGCACCUGGCCCUACCUCCCAACCGGAGAGAAUUUCCAGCCAUUGUGGAAACAAAGAACAAUCACCACCUGCAGUCUGAGCCCACGUGCGUAUACCACAGGCGCUGAGCCACCUCUGACCCUCAUCAGAGUCUGAGGAAACACUGAGUGCCACGCAGCUGCUCAUCCUCAGGUGACUGUCUCGUGCUCAGCUUCCUCAUCUCUGGGAUGAAGGCAGAGUUCCUGUGUGGUAGUGAGGAUGGAAUGAGGCAAUAAUUGCAUCAAGUGCGACUCUGUCCAACUAGUCAGCACCUAUAAAGACCCCUACUCCACUAAAGUCUCAAAUACCGUGACUGUAAUAAAACAGUAUUGAGAAACCUGACAAUCACUCAUGGAAUUGUCCAUCCCAGCAGUGCCCCCAGAGCAGAUGCUGGCCAGCACAGGCGGUCACAACUCCACUAGAGUGGGCAGCAAGCAACCCCACAGGUGCCCUCUUCCACACCUGUGACACUUGCUUCUUACUGCAAAUAAAAAGAUGACCAGGGUUUUGCUUCUGCCCCCCAGGAUGGGAAGGUGCUGACUCUCAGGCCAACAUGACAGUUACUCUCCCUACAGCAGGCACUUGUUCCAAGCAGUAACUUGCUAAUGAACCUAUCAUGACUAAUCUACCCACAGGCACAUUUCCGGCCUCAGUUUCCCUGCACAUAGAGGUGUCUUUAUCACAGGCAGCCUUAGUCCUUGGUCUUACAGAGUGUCCCCCAGUGCCUGCAUUGGUAAUGUGUACUGUUGGAAAGAGAAGAAACGGACCAACAAACACAGACUGUUCAAAAAUAGAAAUUUAUUAAAGUGUAUUUGUUUUUAAUUCCC